GAUGAACGCUGGCGGCGUGCUUAACACAUGCAAGUCGAGCGAAGCACCUUGACGGAUUUCUUCGGAUUGAAGCCUUGGUGACUGAGCGGCGGACGGGUGAGUAACGCGUGGGUAACCUGCCUCAUACAGGGGGAUAACAGUUGGAAACGGCUGCUAAUACCGCAUAAGCGCACAGUACCGCAUGGUACGGUGUGAAAAACUCCGGUGGUAUGAGAUGGACCCGCGUCUGAUUAGGUAGUUGGUGGGGUAACGGCCUACCAAGCCGACGAUCAGUAGCCGACCUGAGAGGGUGACCGGCCACAUUGGGACUGAGACACGGCCCAAACUCCUACGGGAGGCAGCAGUGGGGAAUAUUGCACAAUGGGGGAAACCCUGAUGCAGCGACGCCGCGUGAGCGAUGAAGUAUUUCGGUAUGUAAAGCUCUAUCAGCAGGGAAGAAAAUGACGGUACCUGACUAAGAAGCCCCGGCUAACUACGUGCCAGCAGCCGCGGUAAUACGUAGGGGGCAAGCGUUAUCCGGAUUUACUGGGUGUAAAGGGAGCGUAGACGGCAUGGCAAGCCAGAUGUGAAAGCCCGGGGCUCAACCCCGGGACUGCAUUUGGAACUGUCAGGCUAGAGUGUCGGAGAGGAAAGCGGAAUUCCUAGUGUAGCGGUGAAAUGCGUAGAUAUUAAGAGGAACACCAGUGGCGAAGGCGGCUUUCUGGACGAUGACUGACGUUGAGGCUCGAAAGCGUGGGGAGCAAACAAAAUUAGAUCCCCUGGUAGUCCACGCCGUAAACGAUGAAAAGGGGGUCGGGUGGCAAAGCCAUUCGGUGCCGCAGCAAACGCAAUAAGUAUUCCACCUGGGGAGUACGUUCGCAAGAAUGAAACUCAAAGGAAAUGACGGGGACCCGCCCGAGCGGUGGAGCAUGUGGUUUAAUUCGAAGCAACGCGAAGAACCUUACCUGGUCUUGACAUCCCUCUGACCGCUCUUUAAUCGGAGCUUUCCUUCGGGACAGAGGAGACAGGUGGUGCAUGGUUGUCGUCAGCUCGUGUCGUGAGAUGUUGGGUUAAGUCCCGCAACGAGCGCAACCCCUAUCUUUAGUAGCCAGCAUCUAAGGUGGGCACUCUAGAGAGACUGCCAGGGAUAACCUGGAGGAAGGUGGGGAGGACGUCAAAUCAUCAUGCCCCCUAUGACCAGGGCUACACACGUGCUACAAUGGCGUAAACAAAGGGAAGCGAGCCCGCGAGGGGGAGCAAAUCUCAAAAAUAACGUCUCAGUUCGGAUUGUAGUCUGCAACUCGACUACAUGAAGCUGGAAUCGCUAGUAAUCGCGAAUCAGAAUGUCGCGCCGAAAAAGGUCCCGGGUCUUGC
rnacentral:rRNA from 1 species